rnacentral:rRNA from 1 species
AGAUUGAACGCUGGCGGCAGGCCUAACACAUGCAAGUCGAGCGGCAGCACGGGUACUUGUACCUGGUGGCGAGCGGCGGACGGGUGAGUAAUGCCUAGGAAUCUGCCUGGUAGUGGGGGAUAACGCUCGGAAACGGACGCUAAUACCGCAUACGUCCUACGGGAGAAAGCAGGGGACCUUCGGGCCUUGCGCUAUCAGAUGAGCCUAGGUCGGAUUAGCUAGUUGGUGAGGUAAUGGCUCACCAAGGCGACGAUCCGUAACUGGUCUGAGAGGAUGAUCGAGUCACACUGGAACUGAGACACGGUCAGACUCCUAGGGAGCAGCAGUGGGAAUAGUGGACAAGUGGGACGAAAGCCGUGACUCCGAGUCCAUCGCCGCGUUGUGUAGGAA